rnacentral:rRNA from 1 species
AGAGUUGAUCCUGGCGUCAGGAUGAACGCUAGCUACAGGCUUAACACANGCAAGUCGAGGGGAAACGACAUCGAAAGCUUGCUUUUGAUGGGCGUCGACCGGCGUACGGGUGAGUAACGCGUAUCCAACCUGCCCACCACUUGGGGAUAACCUUGCGAAAGUAAGACUAAUACCCAAUGAUAUCUCUAGAAGACAUCUGAAAGAGAUUAAAGAUUUAUCGGUGAUGGAUGGGGAUGCGUCUGAUUAGCUUGUUGGCGGGGUAACGGCCCACCAAGGCAACGAUCAGUAGGGGUUCUGAGAGGAAGGUCCCCCACAUUGGAACUGAGACACGGUCCAAACUCCUACGGGAGGCAGCA